rnacentral:rRNA from 1 species
UACGUAGGGAGCAAGCGUUGUCCGGAAUCAUUGGGCGUAAAGCGCGUGUAGGCGGUUCGGUAAGUCCGCUGUGAAAGUCGGGGGCUCAACCCUCGAAAGCCGGUGGAUACUGUCGGACUAGAGUGCGGAAGAGGCGAGUGGAAUUCCUGGUGUAGCGGUGAAAUGCGCAGAUAUCAGGAGGAACACCGGCGGCGAAGGCGGGUCUCUGGGCCGAUACUGACGCUGAGGAGCGAAAGCGUGGGGAGCGAACAGG